GCCGAGGUAGCCAAGUGGACUACGGCGCCAGCCUGGAGAGCUGGUGAGGCUCUCGCCUCGCAGGGGUUCAAAUCCCUUCCUCGGCG
rnacentral:tRNA from 1 species